rnacentral:pre_miRNA from 1 species
ACUAUACUCCCUCCGUCCCAAAAUUCUUGUCUUAGAUUUGUCUAAAUACGGAUGUAUCAAGUCAUGUUUUAGUAUUAGGUACAUCCGUAUCUAGACAAAUCUAAGACAAGAAUUUUGGGACGGAGGGAGUAGUUU